rnacentral:lncRNA from 1 species
GACAGAUCAGGAGUUUGAAGAGAGUCUCCGGCUGAAGUUCGGGCAGUCAGAGAAUGAGGAAGAAGAGGUUGGCCUCUUGAUGCUCUGAGCUCGGUGACCCCACCCCCACACCCCACCAGUCCUCUCUGGACUAAAUGAGGGCAAGAAGAAGUCGAAUUUUAUCACGUAACAGAAGAACUUGGAGCCAUCAGUUUCUGUAACCUAAAAAGUUUAACAAGGCUGGGCGCGGUGGCUCACGCCUGUAAUCACAACACUUUGGGAAGCCAAGGUGGGCCAGUUGCUUGAGCUCAGGGAUUUGAGACCAGCCUGGGCAGCAUGGCGAAACCCUGUCUCUACAAAAAAAAUACAAAAAUUAGCCAGGUGUGGUGGUGCGUGCCUAUAGUCCCAGCUACUUGGGAGGUUGAGGUGGGAGGAUCACUUGAGUCCAGGUGGUAGAGGCUGCAGUGAGCCGAGACUGUGCCCAUGCAUUCCAACCUGGGCGACAGAGCAAAAAAAAAAAAAAAAAGUUUAACGUAAGCUGAACACGUUAAUUUUUUAAUAGCUGUAUUAAGGUAUGAUUAACAUACCAUAAAUUGCACAUAUUUAAAGUGCAUAAUUUGAUAAGCUUUGAUAUGUAUAUACCUAUGAUUCUAUCACAAUCAAUAAAAGGAAUAUAUCUACCACCUCAAACAUUUGUAAUCCCUUCUUUCCCAUCCCCAUCGCAUAGGAACUGCUGAUCUGCUUUCUGUCAUGAUAGAUUAGUUUGUAUCAUAUGGCCUUAUAUAAAUGGAGUCAUACAGUAUGUGCUUGGAUUUAGUUUGGUUUUGGUUUGACUGCUUUCACUCAGCAUAAUUAUUUUGUGAUUCAUCUGUGUUGUGGCAUGUAUCAAUCGUUCAUUCCUUGUCAUUGAGUAGUAAUCUAUUGUAUCAGGAUGCCACCAUUUGUUCAUUCAUUUACUUGUUGAUGGACAUCUGUGUUAUUUUCAGUUUUUGACUAUUACAAAUAAAGCAACUAUGAACAUGCACGUACAAGUCUAUGUAUACAUGGAUGCUUUCAUGUCCAAGGACAGAUACUUAGGAUAGACUGGCUAGGUCAUGUAGGUGUAUGUGUAACUUUUUAAUAAACUGCCAAACUUUUCC